AAUUUUCUAGGGUAAUAUUAAAUUUUCUAUCUAAAUUUAUAAUGUUGUUGAAAAUAACAACAAUUUCUUUAAGACUAAAAGACCCUAAAAUUUUUAUAACUAUUAUAAGGUUAUUUGAUUGGGGGAAUAAUAUAAAUAAAAUACA
rnacentral:rRNA from 1 species